CUUUCAUUUUCUGUAAAAGAGUCGUAACACACUCACCCCCACAAACUCUUAGUACUCUUACCUUUCUUCACCGUUGCUUCUCUAUCAACAAAGCUACUUGGAGCUCAGUGAGACGACACCCCUCUUCCAUCCUACAUGUGUGUCUCAAAACAAAUAAACAAUGAACUUUUCAAUGAUUCAUUGGUUUCAUACUUGAUGGGUUAGUUUGGAAGCUGGACCCUUGAGAGAUAUAGCAAAAGGUAGAUCUGUCAAUCCACUUGACUUGGGAGAGGAUGAAGAUGUAAUUCCAUGCAGUAAUAAAGGCCCUUCUUGUUAAUGAAAUUUGCAGACAUAUUAUGGAACAAUAAUGGAUUUGAUUCGUGUCUUUGAAGUUGGAAAAUUAGCUUUGUAAUUUAGCUAAUUUCUACAAGGCUUGGUGCAUGUGUCAUUAGACUUUUAUUUGGUUAAAAACUCUAGUUUCAAAUUAUUAGCA